GAUUAUUAUUUGUUAACCUAACCGCUACCGCCCGCAACCGCAAACGCUUGCGGGAAUGAGCUUUUGAAAACUGGUGAUUCGAGCGGUCUAAAGCGAUAUCUAGCGGUUUCUAUGAUUGGUGUCAAUCGCUAACAACCGCUACCAACCGCAAACGCUCUAUUUGCGGAUGGUAGAGGGAGAACCAAUCAAGCCCUUAAUCAAAAUUUGGAUAAUGAUUAUGGCAAUUGUAGACAAAAUUUGGGUUUGUUAAGAAAGCGGAAAAUAAUAAUGGGUUUAAGUGGUUGAUGUAUAUAGUAGAAAAUAAAUUAUUAUCACAUAUGUUAAAAACUGACUAGUCAAAAAUGAAAUUGAA
rnacentral:sRNA from 1 species